CAGAGAACUACUAGCAAUCGCUUAAAACUCAAAGGACUUGGCGGUGCUUUAAACCCCCUAGAGGAGCCUGUUCUAUAACCGAUAAACCCCGAUAAACCUCACCACCCCUUGCUAAUCCAGUCUAUAUACCGCCAUCUUCAGCGAACCCUUAAAAGGAAAAAAAGUAAGCAUAAUUAUCUCACAUAAAAAAGUUAGGUCAAGGUGUAACCUAUGGGAUGGGAAGAAAUGGGCUACAUUUUCUACUCAAGAAAAGUCUACGAAAAUUUUUAUGAAACUAAAAACUAAAGGGGGAUUUAUUAGUAAACUAAAAAUAGAGAGCUUAGUUGAAUAGGGCAAUGAAACACGCACACACCGCCCGUCACCCUCCUGCAGUCAA
rnacentral:rRNA from 1 species